GUCGAUCAUUAGGGGUGCCCCAACAUUACGGGCUGAGAUCAUACCCAUAGAACCUGAUCCGGGUAGUGCCGGCGAAGGGAAAUGACUUAAGCCAAUA
rnacentral:ncRNA from 1 species